rnacentral:rRNA from 1 species
UCUGGUUGAUCCUGCCAGAGGUUACUGCUAUCGAGGUUCGACUAAGCCAUGCGAGUCGAAUGUAGCAAUACAUGGCGAACUGCUCAGUAACACGUGGACAACCUGCCCUUAGGACGGGGAUAAACCCGGGAAACUGGGUAUAAUACCCGAUAGGUCUCGAUUGCUGGAAUGCAUCGAGAUUUAAAGCUCCGGCGCCUAAGGAUGGGUCUGCGGCCUAUCAGGUAGUAGUGGGUGUAGCGUACCUACUAGCCUACGACGGGUACGGGUUGUGAGAGCAAGAGCCCGGAGAUGGAUUCUGAGACACGAAUCCAGGCCCUACGGGGUGCAGCAGGCGCGAAAACUUUACAAUGCUGGCAACAGCGAUAAGGGAACCUCGAGUGCCAGGUUACAAAUCUGGCUGUCGAGAUGCCUAAAAAGCAUUUCAUAGCAAGGGCCGGGCAAGACCGGUGCCAGCCGCCGCGGUAACACCGGCGGCUCGAGUGGUAACCGUUAUUAUUGGGUCUAAAGGGUCUGUAGCCGGCCGGAUAAGUCUCUUGAGAAAUCUGGCAGCUUAACUGUCAGGCUUUCAGGAGAUACUGUCUGGCUCGAGGCCGGGAGAGGUGAGAGGUACUUCAGGGGUAGGGGUGAAAUCUUGUAAUCCUUGAAGGACCACCAGUGGCGAAGGCGUCUCACCAGAACGGACCUGACGGCAAGGGACGAAAGCUAGGGGCACGAACCGGAUUAGAUACCCGGGGUAGUCCUAGCCGUAAACGAUACUCGCUAGGUGUCGGCCCACGGUGCGACGUUGUCGGUGCCGUAGGGAAAGCCGUGAAGCGGAGCCACCUGGGGAGUACGGCCGCAAGGCUGAAACUUAAAAGAAAUUGGCGGGGAGCACCACAACGGGUGGAGCUUGCGGUUUAAUUGGAUUCAACGCCGGGA